rnacentral:rRNA from 1 species
AGCACGUUAUGGUGGGCACUCUAAGGAGACUGCCGGUGACAACCGGAGGAAGGUGGGGAUGACGUCAAGUCAUCAUGGCCCUUACGGCCUGGGCUACACACGUGCUACAAUGGUCGGUACAAAGGGUUGCCAAGCCGCGAGGUGGAGCUAAUCCCAUAAAACCGAUCGUAGUCCGGAUCGCAGUCUGCAACUCGACUGCGUGAAGUCGGAAUUGCUAGUAAUCGUGAAUCAGAAUGUCACGGUGAAUACGUUCCCGGGCCUU